rnacentral:rRNA from 1 species
AUGGACGCUGGCGGUAUGCCUUAUCGUGCGGUUUCAACGGUUACAGGUCUUCGGACGCUGACCAGUGGCGGACGGGUGAGUGAUGCAUCGGAACGUGCCCAGUCGUGGGGGAUAACUGCUCGAAAGAGCAGCUAAUACCGCAUACGACCUGAGGGUGAAAGCGGGGGACCGUAAGGCCUCGCGCGAUUGGAGCGGCCGAUGUCAGAUUAGCUAGUUGGGGGGGUAAAGGCCUACCAAGGCAACGAUCUGUAGUUGGUCUGAGAGGACGACCAGCCACACUGGGACUGAGACACGGCCCAGACUCCUACGGGAGGCAGCAGUGGGGAAUUUUGGACAAUGGGCGCAAGCCUGAUCCAGCAAUGCCGCGUGCAGGAAGAAGGCCUUCGGGUUGUAAACUGCUUUUGUCAGGGAAGAAAUCUUCUGGGCUAAUACCCCGGGAGGAUGACGGUACCUGAAGAAUAAGCACCGGCUAACUACGUGCCAGCAGCCGCGGUAAUACGUAGGGUGCGAGCGUUAAUCGGAAUUACUGGGCGUAAAGCGUGCGCAGGCGGUUAUGUAAGACAGAUGUGAAAUCCCCGGGCUCAACCUGGGAACUGCAUUUGUGACUGCAUGACUGGAGUGCGGCAGAGGGGGAUGGAAUUCCGCGUGUAGCAGUGAAAUGCGUAGAUAUGCAGAGGAACACCGAUGGCGAAGGCAAUCCCCUGGGGCCUGCACUGACGCUCAUGCACGAAAGCGUGGGGGAGCAAACAGGAUUAGAUACCCUGGUAGUCACGCCCUAAACAAUGUCAACUGGUUGUUGGAAGGGCUUGCUGGUCAGUAACGGAGCUAACGCGUGAAGUUGA